UCGAUUGGAUUAGGCAUGCAAGUCGAACGCGAACGUCGGGCUUCGGCCUGGCUAGUAAAGUAACGAACAAAUAAAUAACGCGUGGGCAAUCUACCCUCGAGUGGGGAAUAACCUCUCUAACGAGUGGCUAAUACCGCACACGAUCGCACUUCCGCAUGGGAGAGCGAUGAAAGGUGGGGAUCUUCGGACCUACCGCUCGAGGAGGAGCCCGCGUCCCAUUAGCUUGUUGGUAGGGUAAUGGCCUACCAAGGCGACGAUGGGUAGCCGAUCUGAGAGGAUGACCGGCCACACUGGGACUGAGAUACGGCCCAGACUCCUACGGGAGGCAGCAGUCGAGAGGCUUCGGCAAUGGGGGAAACCCUGACCGAGCGACGCCGCGUGCGGGAUGAAGGCCUUCGGGUUGUAACCGCUGUCAGGAGGGAAGAAUCCCCACGGGCUAAUACCCUGAGGGUUGACGGUACCUCCAGAGGAAGCUCCGGCUAACUCCGUGCCAGCAGCCGCGGUAAUACGGAGGGAGCGAACGUUGUUCAGAUUCACUGGGCGUAAAGGGCGUACAGGCGGUUUUGCAAGUCAGGGGUGAAAUGUCCCGGCUCAACCGGGGACCUGCCCUUGAAACUGCAGGACUUAAGGUCGUGAGAGGAGACUGGAAUUCCUAGUGUAGCGGUGAAAUGCAUAGAUAUUAGGAAGAACACCAGUGGCGAAGGCGAGUCUCUGGCACGCACCUGACGCUGACGCGCGAAAGCUAGGGGAGCGAACGGGAUUAGAUACCCCGGUAGUCCUAGCCGUAAACGAUGGGCACUAAGUGUUGGCCGAUCGACCCGGUCAGUGCUGUAGCUAACGCAUUAAGUGCCCCGCCUGGGGA
rnacentral:rRNA from 1 species